rnacentral:rRNA from 1 species
UUAAGUCAGGCAACGAGCGAGACCCGUGCCCACUGUUACCAGCAUGUCCUCCGGGACGAUGGGUACUCUGUGGGGACCGCCGGUGUUAAAUCGGAGGAAGGUGCGGGCCACGGUAGGUCAGUAUGCCCCGAAUUUCCCGGGCUACACGCGGGCUACAAUGAAUGGGACAAUGGGUCCCUUCCCCGAAAGGGGUUGGUAAUCUCACAAACCCAUCCGUAGUUCGGAUCGAGGGCUGUAACUCGCCCUCGUGAAGCUGGAAUCCGUAGUAAUCGCGUUUCAAUAUAGCGCGGUGAAUACGUCCCUGCUCCUUGCACA